AACUCCCCCCACCCCACCUUCAGAUGAAACUGCAGCCUGGGCUAAUGCAUGGCUUGACUGCAAUGUUACAGAGGGCCCGAGCCUGAGACACUGAUCAAAAGUGUGCCCUGGUUCCUACUUACAGAAACUUUGGGAGAAACUGAGUCACAAAGAAGUUGCAUCACUUGCCCAACACCACACAUAUGUGAUGGAGGUGGGAAUCCAACUCAGGCCAACUGACUCCAGAGCUGAGGCUCCUCUGUGACUGCAAGACAAGACCCCUCGGAGAUAACCUUUUCUACCUCAGAUGUGCAUACGUGAAACACGACUUCUCCACUGCAGCAUGUGAAAUAGAGAAAGUCAAAGAAGCGAUCUCUGUACUUCCAUAGAAAUUUAGAGAGGCACUGUGGCCAGAAAGGAGACUGCUGCUGGCUGUUGUAUCCUCCUUAUUUUUUAGGAGGAGAAUGCCCAUC